rnacentral:rRNA from 1 species
AUACGUAGGUGACAAGCGUUAUCCGGAUUUACUGGGCGUAAAGGGCGUGUAGGCGGUCUUGCAAGUCAGAAGUGAAAUUCCUGAGCUCAACUCGGGCGCUGCUUCUGAAACUGCAGGACUUGAGUGCUGGAGGGGAUAGCGGAAUUCCUAGUGGAGCGGUAAAAUGCGCAGAUAUUAGGAAGAACACCGGUGGCGAAGGCGGCUAUCUGGACAGUAACGGACGCUGAGGCGCGAAAGCGUGGGGAGCAAACAGGAUUAGAUCCCCUGGUAGCCCACGCCGUAAACGAUGAGUGCUAAGUGUUGGAGGGUUUCCGCCCUUCAGUGCUGCAGCAAACGCAUUAAGCACUCCGCCUGGGAGUACGACCGCAAGGUUGAAACUUAAAGGAAUUGACGGGG